rnacentral:rRNA from 1 species
UUCUUCCGUAGGUGAACCUGCGGAAGGAUCAUUACUGAGUGAGGGUCCCUCGGGGCCCAACCUCCCACCCGUGUAUACCGUACCUUGUUGCUUCGGCGAGCCCGCCCCCCUUCCUUAGGGGUGGCACAGCGCUCGCCGGAGACACCAACGUGAACACUGUCUGAAGUUUUGUCGUCUGAGUCGAUUGUAUCGCAAUCAGUUAAAACUUUCAACAAUGGAUCUCUUGGUUCCGGCAUCGAUGAAGAACGCAGCGAAAUGCGAUAAUUAAUGUGAAUUGCAGAAUUCAGUGAAUCAUCGAGUCUUUGAACGCACAUUGCACCCCCUGGUAUUCCGGGGGGUAUGCCUGUCCGAGCGUCAUUGCUGCCCUCAAGCACGGCUUGUGUGUUGGGUCGUCGUCCCCCCCGGGGGACGGGCCCGAAAGGCAGCGGCGGCACCGCGUCCGGUCCUCGAGCGUAUGGGGCUUUGUCACCCGCUCUUGUAGGCCCGGCCGGCUGCUGGCCGACGCUGAAAAGCAACCAAUCUAUUUCAUCAGGUUGACCUCGGAUCAGGUAGGGAUACCCGCUGAACUUAAGCAUAUCAAUAAGCGGAGGAAAGU